rnacentral:lncRNA from 1 species
AAGAUGAUGUUGAAGGGAUUCCUGACGAGAUUUCCCGACUUCUUGAGCAAGAAAAGAAGAUCACUCAGCUGCAUCCCGAGAAUCAGCAGAACAGCCAACUGGGGCAUUAUCAAAAAAAAAGAAAAAGAAAAAGAAAGAGGAGGGUGCAAAACCAAAUCAAAAGAAAUCAAAAGAAAUCAAAAGAAAUCAAAAGAAAUCAAAAGAAAGAAAAAGAAAGAAAAAAACAAAAGAAAGAUAGCACCCUCAAAGUCCCAAGUUGGCUGAUGCUGAAUUCAAUCAAAAAGAAAAG